UACGAGGGGGGCGAGCGUUGUUCGGAAUUAUUGGGCGUAAAGCGCGCGUAGGCGGCCCGGUAAGUCCGUUGUGAAAGUCAAAGGCUCAACCUUUGAACGCCGAUGGAUACUGCCGGGCUAGAGUCCGGAAGAGGCGAGUGGAAUUCCUGGUGUAGCGGUGGAAUGCGCAGAUAUCAGGAAGAACACCCGUGGCUAAGGCGGCUCUCUAGUACGGUACUGACGCUGAGACGCGAAAGCGUGGGGAGCGAACAGG
rnacentral:rRNA from 1 species